CUUGGAGAAUUAAUGAUAUAGAUAUUCAGAGACUUCUCAGUCUCCCCCCGCCCCCAUAUCAAAGCCCUAUGGCAAGCAGAUCACUAUAUAUCCGGUGGGGGGAGGUAACCACAAAGAGGAAUUCACAUUCUACCUGGCAAAGGCUGGGCUAGCUGUGCUGGUCGGAGGGUCUGCUGCAGAGAACUGUAGGGGCCACUCUAGCUGCCUCCUUGCUUGCUUGCUUGCUUGCUUGCUUGGGGCCUGCAGGCCUACUCAAGUUCAGGCUUCACUGAGGCCUACAAGGAGAUCUCCCUGGAAGCCCCGCCCACCCACCAAUCAGCUGAGAGGUGGGGAGAAAAGGAGCUCCUAGCAGCUUGCCUGCUGCUUAGAUUGCUGGCUAGGAGGACAAGCAGGAGAGAGGGCAAGCAGGGCAAGUGGCUGAGGGACCUUGGGACCGGGCAGGGGGCAAUGAGGAGUCAUGUGAGGUGUCUCUGGGGCACCCCUCCAGGCAGUGGGGCCCCCAGACAACUGUCUCCCCUUGCUUAAUGCUUGCCCAUCUUGGCUUGGAGGCUUCUGGCACUGGGAUAUAAGCACCUGUUUGCUGAAUCUCUAAUCUGGGGUUGAAGCUACUUCAGGAGCAAACAGAGGCAGCAAGAGACAGCUCUGCUCUACAUACAAAGGACGGGGAGCCAUUUUCCCAGGCACAGCACAAGCGUCUGUUUUAGCUGCAGAAAAAUGAAGCAGGUGAAUGGAUGGCCACACAGCUCAGCUUUGACCCUUUGCCUCAAUGUUGACUCCUGGCUUUCUUCCUAAUCCUCUUGGUCUUCUAUGGGGAAUUCCUGAUCUCAACUUCAGUCUCUGUUGUAGCCUCUGGUGACCCAUGCUGUAGCCUCUGACGCCCAUGACCCAGUGCAGAUGGCUGCUGCUUCAGUAUGAGGCACAGAAAACAGUUUAAGGUUUUUACUGUGAAAACAAACUAUUCCUGAUUCCCUGAAGAGGUUUUUUUUGUUUAUGACUGUAUAACUAACUUGAUUCCAGGCAUUCAGGCACCAGUCUGCAACUCCUCUCCUCACCACAGCCCAUCCCUGUCUGCAUUUUCCUCCCUUAAUCUCUUCUGACACUACUACUCACCUCUUCCUUUUCCCUUCUGCACCAGUGUUUCUGAAGGAGAUUCUACUAAAAGACUUGAAAGAGGUGCUGGGCUUGUGCUGCAAUAAAAGAACUGACUGACCAUAACUCCAAGUGACCUGGGGAACUGCAGCUGGCCAUGCAUUGCCACAGUGCAAGUGAAAGAAAAGAAAUCCCUCCUUAAAAAUUCUUAAAAUUAUUACUAAAGGACCUGAAUAUUAUUUUCUGUACAAGAUUUGAGAGGUUGUUUGCCUGUUCUGUAUUGCUGUUGCUAUUUUAUUCCACUAUGAAUUAUUCUGUUUGUAUCUCUCUGUGUGAGUAGAAAGAACGAUCUCACCAAAGAGAGAAUUAUAAGCAAAAGUCUUUUCUCUCAUAGCCUUUGGACUCCAGAAUAUUUUCCUCCUUUCCUAAGAGUAACUGCAAUACGAGUGAGCAGUGUAGCAGCUGAGCUGUACAAAUGCAUUUUAAUGAGAAAAGAUCUUAGAUAUGCCCAGCAAUAGAAACCGGUGUGUGGAUUAUUUUAUCAGAAGAAACCAUUUUCUUAAUAUAACAAUGAUUUUAUAUACCAAAGCUAAUCAUGCUGAACUGGAAAAUCCAUCUGUUUUAAAACCAAUUUAGAUUUUGGAGUUAAUGCAACCUAAUUCUGCCCCAGAUAAGGGUUAUAGCUCCAUUACACAUAUUCCCCAAAGAAUGGUGGCCUGCACUCCAUAAGGUAUUUUUUGAAAGAUGCAAUACCUCAGAACUGUCUCAUUUUACCAAUACUAGAAUAAAAUUAAUUAUGGAAACAAUAGAGCUUAGGUCUGGGUUACCUUAGAGAGCGUCUUCUUCUGCAUGAUACCCCAUCGCACGUUGAGGUCAUCCAGAGAGGUCUGUCUCCAGUUACCACUGGCAAGUCUGGUGGCAACUCGGAACCACGCCUUCUCUGUUGUUGUUCCUAGCCUGUGGAAUGCACGCCCAGCAGAUAUCCAUAGUUUGGGCUGCUUGUUGGCCUUCAAGAGAGCCCUAAAAACCUACUUGUUUGGCCUGGCCUCCCAAAGUUUUUAAAUCAUUCUUAAGUAGUUGAAUUGGUUUUAAAUGGCUUUGAGCUGUUUUAUAUUUGUUUUUAUAUUGUUUUAAGCAGUUUGUUUUAAAUGGUGUGGAUUUUUUUUACUUCUUGUGCACUGCCCAGAGGUUUUGGA